UACGUAGGGUGCAAGCGUUAAUCGGAAUUACUGGGCGUAAAGCGUGCGCAGGCGGUUAUGCAAGACAGUUGUGAAAUCCCUCGGCUCAACCAAGGAAGUGCAUCCGAAACUGCUGAGCUUGAGUACUUAAGAGGAUCGCGGAAUUCCCGGUGUAGAGGUGAAAUUCGUAGAUAUCGGGAGGAACACCAGUGGCGAAGGCGGCGAUCUGGGAAGAUACUGACGCUGAGGUGCGAAAGCGUGGGGAGCAAACAGG
rnacentral:rRNA from 1 species